CCUUUAUAUAUUUUUGGUGGCACCAUGGAUUUUGUAAAAGAAUUUUUAUGUUGUGAAAUUAUUUAUGCACAUCGUUCUUUUUGGGACCCCGAAUGUCGCUGCACCAACAAGAUUAGAAAGAUUAGAUUUUCCCCCCUAUUUUGUUGGUUCUUUUUAAAGUUUUUUAGAUGCUGCUGCUGUAUAUGAGAUAAUUUGCGUCAAUUUUUUUAUCCAAAGAUCGAGCAAGGAG
rnacentral:lncRNA from 1 species